rnacentral:piRNA from 1 species
UGCCAUAGGAUUGUUGUGAGAUUUAAGUG